UCACCGUGGCUCGAAAUGGAUCCCAACUGCUCCUGUGCCACUGGUAGCUCCUGGACUUGUGCCAGCUCCUGCAAGUGCAAAGAGUGCAAAUGCACCUCCUGCAAGAAGAGCUGCUGCUCCUGCUGCCCCGUGGGCUGUGCCAACUGUGCCCAGGGGCUGCGUCUGCAAAGGGGGGUUGGAGAAGUGCAGCUGCUGUGCCUGAUGUGGGGACAGUUCUGCUCCCAGAUGUAAAUAGACCAACCUGCACAAACCUGGAUUUUU